rnacentral:rRNA from 1 species
AUUGAACGCUGGCGGCAGGCUUAACACAUGCAAGUCGAGCGGGGGAAGGUAGCUUGCUACCGGACCUAGCGGCGGACGGGUGAGUAAUGCUUAGGAAUCUGCCUAUUAGUGGGGGACAACAUCUCGAAAGGGAUGCUAAUACCGCAUACGUCCUACGGGAGAAAGCAGGGGAUCUUCGGACCUUGCGCUAAUAGAUGAGCCUAAGUCGGAUUAGCUAGUUGGUGGGGUAAAGGCCUACCAAGGCGACGAGCUGUAGCGGGUCUGAGAGGAUGAUCCGCCACACUGGGACUGAGACACGGCCCAGACUCCUACGGGAGGCAGCAGUGGGGAAUAUUGGACAAUGGGGGAACCCUGAUCCAGCCAUGCCGCGUGUGUGAAGAAGGCCUUAUGGUUGUAAAGCACUUUAAGCGAGGAGGAGGCUACUUUAGUUAAUACCUAGAGAUAGUGGACGUUACUCGCAGAAUAAGCACCGGCUAACUCUGUGCCAGCCGCCGCCGUAA